CUCUUUUAUUAAAAACAGUAUUGCUAGUUACAUGUUUCAUUCAUAAAUGUGCAACUUUAAGAGCCAAGGCAUAACAAUUAAUCAGAUUUUCUUGUCAUUAGUGUUUCCAGUAUGUUGAAGGCUGAAAGUUUUUUUUUCUUUUGUUUUGUUUUUUGCAUUUAAUUAAGACAAACUGUUGAAUCAAACUACAACUGAUUGCAUAUGCGUUCACCCAAAGCACCCAAAACAAUUAAACCAAAAAUCAAUAUAAAAAGAAACACAAAAAUACAUAAAAGCAUUAAAAUUAACAAAUAUUCUCUGGUAUAUAUAGUUUAAAUGUGCUUUUUUAUUUUUAUUUUUUACUCCUUUUUAACUAUAGCAAAUUCUGGUCUUUGCCUCCAUAAUGACACCAAUUACUUUAAUGAACCCUUGCUCUCCCCAAAUGUCCUCUUUGUCAGUCCACUCUUGAAGGCAACUUUGUAGUGUUUGGAUUGGCUUAAGAAAAAAAUACAAGAAAAAGCAACAAAAAUUAUCGAAAAAGAUGGUUAACCCCCUAUACUUAAUGUAAUUAUGUACACCUCAAUUUGCAUUAGGUAUUUGUGUCAGGAAAAGCAAAAGUUAGCAGAAAAAACACUGCUUUUGUAGAGUUUAGACUACAUGUUUGAACAGUGAAGUUUAAUACCUUAUAAAAUGCCAAUCCCACAAGAAUCAUACGUAACAUUAAGUUCACAUAUUAACCGUUAUCUUGAGUAGAAAAGUUCAACUCAACUUAUAUCAAGUUGAGUAAAAGAUAUUGAUUUUAGUCAUGUUGUAUAGUGUUAAGCAGGACACAGAGGCACUCCAUUGGCCCACUAUUAAGACACUGUUACCGACAUUUUAUAUGUACACAUUCAAUAAGAAUAUAGACCUGAAGUUAGAAAGGACCCCCCGACAUUAGUCUCACUGCAGCAAUAUCCCUCAAAUGUUACAAAAAGAAGGAACAUACAGUGACGAGUUUACCAAAAAUAAGACAAUUGUUAACUACUAAAGGAUAUUUCAAUAAACUCGUUAAAUGUACAGCCCAUCAAUUAGUUAAAAUGUCAUGGAAAAGUAGUUCUUACAAUAGAUUAAAGGUGCUCUGAGUAACCUUUCUGGUAAAGUGUAUACCACCUCCUGUCUCUGAGGAACAUUCUAGGCAAAGCAAUAACAUUUCCACAGUUUGGCAUUAAACUUAUGUAGAUCCAUGGAGACAAGCAGACGGUGCCACCUGG
ensembl:lncRNA